GAUGAACGCUGGCGGCGUGCCUAAUACAUGCAAGUCGAGCGAACAGAUGAGGAGCUUGCUCCUCUGACGUUAGCGGCGGACGGGUGAGUAACACGUGGACAACCUACCUAUAAGACUGGGAUAACUUCGGGAAACCGGAGCUAAUACCGGAUAAUAUAUUGAACCGCAUGGUUCAAUAGUGAAAGACGGUUUUGCUGUCACUUAUAGAUGGAUCCGCGCCGCAUUAGCUAGUUGGUAAGGUAACGGCUUACCAAGGCGACGAUGCGUAGCCGACCUGAGAGGGUGAUCGGCCACACUGGAACUGAGACACGGUCCAGACUCCUACGGGAGGCAGCAGUAGGGAAUCUUCCGCAAUGGGCGAAAGCUUGACGGAGCAACGCCGCGUGAGUGAUGAAGGUCUUCGGAUCGUAAAACUCUGUUAUUAGGGAAGAACAAAUGUGUAAGUAACUAUGCACGUCUUGACGGUACCUAAUCAGAAAGCCACGGCUAACUACGUG
rnacentral:rRNA from 1 species